AUGAAUCGUGCGUUCGCCAACGUCAUAGUGCGCGAUUACGGCAGUAAAUUUUACUCGCUGCUCCGGGUCAACCUCAAGCAGCAUCUCUUCCACCGCUCAGCAGCAGCAGCAGAAAAGGCGAGUAACAAGAAGGGACUGCCAUCGGCGAUCCCGAGCUUGGAGCCUCUGCCCGAGCACAAGAUCAACUUCUCGACGCCGCCAAAGAUGGAGGGCGCAACGUACUUGCACUUCUUCUCCCUGCUGAAAGGGCAGGCAGAGGGCCGUGUCAUGUUCGCCGACCCUUGCGCCAAUCCCGUGAUGUACGACAUUGACAUGGACGCCGUCAUCGCCAUGCCCGAGACUAACUUCAGCAAACAGAGGGACUCAAUCUCCUUGUCCAUGACUAGGCCUGGGAGCCAAGACGACGACGAACAGCACUAUGUCUUGAGCAAAGAACCGAGCAAUGUCUUGUUUGAGGUCUUGGAGUACGGGAGGAACGGCUCCGCCAGGGGGGGUCCAUCCGCUGGGACUGAACGGAGGUGGCACUGGCAACAUCUGCCCUCGCCGCCGAUGCGUGGACCGUACCUGCCUAGCCUCCACAGGAGAGAGGUCAUCCACCCCUCCGCGGCGGCGGUGGUCGAUGAGACGACUUUGUGUGUGUCGUCUGUGGAAACCGGAGCCUAUGCCUUUGACACGGUGAAAGGUGAGUGGAGGAAGGCUGGAAGCUGGGCGCUGCCCUUCCAUGGCGCGGCGGAGUACGUCCCUGAACUCGGCCUCUGGUUUGGCGUCAAUGCUGCCGUCGGCAACACCCACCACUGUCUGGGUGCCUUCGACCUGUCUUCCUGGCCACCCGUGGAGCACCGCACCUGGAACUAUCUUGAUCCGCUGUCCGACAAGUGGUUGACAUGGCAGAGGCACCUACUCAACCUUGGCUCAGGCAAGUUCUGCAUCGCCACCAGCUUUCAAAAUAUCGAGUGGCACACACCAUGUAAUGCAGCAGGCUACCCUUUACACGGGCUAGAUGAUGAGAUGGUGGUCAAUGACCUUAUCAUCUUGACGGGCGUCGAGGUUGUGCGUUGUGGCGACAGGCUCAAGAUGAUCAACCACAAGUCUAAACACCUUGAAGGCAUUGAAAUCCACUGCGUGCUCUGA
rnacentral:rRNA from 1 species